rnacentral:lncRNA from 1 species
UUGAGCUUCAAGUUUGGGUGGCAAAUUUCUAUCAGUUCAGUAUAUCAAAGAUUUCCAUGGCAACCAGUUGGAAAGUCCUCCUCCUUCUUAACUGUACUUGACAUAUCUGCGCAGGUUGGUGGUAAUGAUGGGCGGAAAGGUCAAGUACAAGAGGUUCGGGGUUGAUAAGGCCAUUCUGCAAACACUCUUAUCAACUUCUUUGUCUGUCAAGUAUCUGGACCAAAAUGACCCUCAAACUAGGAAUACGAGACCAUGCUGUAGCAAAAACAUCAUUUUUUUUCUUUGUCAAUCUCCAAAUGGGAUGGGAAAUAAUUGAUGUGUUUUUUCUGCACAAAUACCAAAGGGUCAAUUUUUGAAAAACAUGACUCUCCAGUCUCUAAUUUGAGACUUUCUACUAUAAUCGUACUCAACCUAACUUAAGCAAAAAUGGGUUUAUGUGAUAAAAUUUCCAAACUAUUGUCAUUUUGUAAAACUUGCCACUUUGUUACAUGCCUGGACUUCGCCUAAACAAGCAUUAAUUCACAGUGUUUACCUCUGUUCAGUUUCCUGUAUGCCUGCCUCUGCUGUGUCUGACACAUACACGUGUCGUUUUACGGAACAGACGUCUGCUGUUUCAAGAUCACUAACGCUUGACUCUUCUGUCCUCUACGAUGGAGUCUUGUUGGUGAAACGAUAGGUGAGCUUUUCUUUAUUCAGAGCGCCUCUGAUCUCACCUGCUGUCACACACUCGACAAGGAAGCUGAGCAGGGAACUGCACUGCAGCCCGCAUAAAUUUGAUGGCGUGGCUCGCUGCCAGAAUUUAAUGACACCUCCGCUCUUUAAACUCUCAACAGCUGGUCCCAAAUGUUUAGAUCUUUUACCUCCAUCUGACUGUUAAAGAGGCCAGAGGAGGCGAAGAGGUGGUGAGGUGUGACAGAUUUAAAACAUAGUCAGAUCUUUUACCGGUGAGUCGACUAUCUCAGCAGGAUAUGUCCAUGUAAAACACCAGAUGACACUCAAACAAGGUGGAUUCAAAGAUGGUAAUUAUGGUCAGCCAUCAUUUUUGUACAGAAAUAAAAUCCACAAGCAGCGACAGAACAAAUUACCACAGUUUUGUACAAGGUUUCCUACUGCAAAAAAGACUAGCAAAUUCAUACAAACCAAACCACAAUUACAAGGUUUGAUUUCUCAAUUUAGAAACUAUGGAUUGGGAUGAAAUUUGGUGCAGCCAUCCAUUAUUCCUCCACAAUCAGUCUUAACGCCGUGGGUUAUCCCUCCAUUCUCCUCUAAUUAGUAGGUUGGCAGUUUAAAUGAAACAUUUUCGAUAAACAUUGAAUGCUUUGGUCAGCAAUUAGGCUCUACGCAGGGAUAACCAACCUUCACCUUUUCCUUCUGUGAGAUCAAAACACUGAAUGUCCCAUUCAGCCUUGGUUGUAAUUUUAAUUUUGAGGGAUUGAUGAUCGCACGCCAACUUGCAAGAAUAACACAGUGAAGAACAAAUUUCCGUUAUCCUUCUAUUUUUAGUGAAAAAUCGUCAUGCUGUCAAAAGGUUUCAAAAGUCUUUAAAUUUUCAAGUUUCUUUUUGCUUUAUUUUGACUUUUUUCCCUCAAAUCUAUCUUAGUUUUGAUUUUUUUUUUCAUAGUGUUAUGUUUCUUUGAUUUUAAUUGUUUUAAAAUGUUUUAGUUUUGCUAUUAUCAGUUUAAGUUGUGGUUUUAUUUUUUUGUACUAUAGGAUACUUGUUAGGAGAUGCAAAAAGGACUAAAUAAAUAUUUUAUGUUAAAACAAACAAACAAAAAGAAACAUCAUACCAUUUAGAAAAAUAUGUAUUCGUAUAUGAUUAACAAACACAGCCAUCCAAAGCAGACAAAGUGUCACAGUUUUAGUGUUUGGGCUCGUAUGCCUUAUAUAUACAUACCCUCUACAUCAUACUGCACUGGCUGGGCCACCACAGUUUAAAAGCCUGGAUACGCCCCUGCUCAUCGGCCUAUACUCCUUUAAAAGUCCAUCAUGUUCGCUUGUCCAGAAGCAGAUGGAUCCGUGACUCUGCUGAUGUGAUAAAAGAGGGAACAGUAAAAGUUAGGGACUCAACUUUCAACCACAACAAAUAUAAACGAUCUUGAUUUUGAAGAGCAGCUCGAGUCAUAGGCAAUCUGAAUAUCCUGAGUAAGUCAGCGGGCGAACAAAAGAUGUCUAUUAAUUUAAUGUUUGAGUAAAAGAAGACUUUUUAAAAGAGUUAAAAGUUCCUUCAUUAAAAGGUCAGCCAUGUUUAACUCCUGGGAUGAGUGACGGUCAGGGUUUGAAUGUCAGUAAUUCUCCUGUCUUCUAAAGUGUUUUGACCAUACAAAGUAGUUUUAGUCGUAAAGUCUUUUGUUUUAUUCCGACAGGUAACCAAACAAAAUUAGAUUUAUUUUUUAUCUUCCUUUUGAAGCUGAAGUGGUCUCCUUAGAAAAAAGUGUUUACCUAACUAAGUUUCCAUGUCACUUCAUAUAAAAAGUUUGCUCUGGGAGAGCAUCAGACAAGCCCUGAGGGCAGUCAGCCAGGGGCAAAUGAGGGAGUGUCUCGAUGCCUGCGGUACCAAUUGAGCCGGCAUCACUUUCCGAUCGAAUGACUUUCAAGACAGCCUUUUGUGGCAGCUUCCUAAUGUCGAUGAGACUACGGAGCUGCCCGUCAAAAUCAUAGUGGAGAGACAAAUCAAAAGUCACGUCUUGGCCUGAGCUUGUCUCUCAUUAGAGUGGAUAGCAUCAACCGCUGACUGAGCUGUCAGACUCAUAUCCAAAGCUGCAGUAUGUCUUCUACUAUUUGCCCUGAGAGCAUGAAUGUCAGUGGUACACCUAUCAUCUGAGACGAGAGAUAACCAGGGAGAUUUUUAAUAAGAGGCGGGCCAUGACCUUUGGGAGGACCACAUGGGGAUGACUUUUUUUCUCCUUUUUUUUUUUUGGCCUUUUUCUCACAAAACAUUUGGUGAUGUGCUAAUCAAACUUUCCACUGAUGGUUUCUUGUGCAUGUGUAGCAAAACAUCUUAUCUGUGGUUCUAAAGUUUGACAAAAGGGCGUCCGUGUUGAGUUUUCCCUUUAAUAGAUUGGGUGUCCACUUAAAACAACAAAAAGUUUCUUCAUACCAUGAACUAAAACUAACAAAAAAGUAAGCAUUUUUAAUCUACUGCAGAAUUUAAAUGUGUAUUUUGCUUCUUACAUUAGCCUUGAGAUAUAAAGUAUUUAACUAUCUGAUAUUAAAUGUACAAUCUAGUCUUGAGUUUAGAUGUUUGAUCACAGUACCGAUCCAAGGACCAAUGUUCAGACCUUUUCAAAGCAUCACCUUCCACUUACAGGACUUGAAGACUCCUGGCAUGGUGCCGGGAAAUCUGGCUCCGGAUUUUUUUUUUUUUCUCUAAAUCAUGUCAAAAAAAAAAAGAAAAAGAAACCCUAGUUAUUUAGAUCUGAAUAUGAGUGGUAGAGAACAGCAUUACGCUGGAUAGCAUACAUCCUGCCAGAGAAGAAGAAGAAGCCGAAGAAGCGAGCGGGGAAACAGCAAAUUUCAAAUGAUUGAUGCGAGGUACGUCAAUCCAGGAGAAGAAACUGUGAUAUUGGAAGCUGGGCUUUGUUUGGAAGGGGCUGGAAAAGAUGGAAAGUCUCAUGGUAGCUGGUGCCGAAAACUGAAAGAGCCAGGUGCUUGUUUUUGUGUGUCUUGUGCCUGAAAGCUUAUAAAUGGCAGCAGUGGGGAAAAGUUCGGAAAAGUUGGAAAGAUAUUCACAGAUAUACCGAAACGUUGUCUAAACACAAAUGAUGCCUCUUUUAUGUCGUAAUAGAACAGACAACUCGCUACAAGAAUCAAAAACUGAUUUGUUUCACAAAAUCAAGCCGUUCUUCGAGCUGGAUGAAUAAUACUCAUCUCUAUGAGCAGCCGGUAGCUGGGCGAGUGCGCAGGGAUCGUCUGCAAAUUACGAUACAAGAGCAAGACGCUGCAAACAAAAAUCAAUAGCUCCACUGUAACACAGUAGAGACCUCAAAAUCACCGAACACACCAAGGGACUCUUCAUACAACAACUACUGUUUUAGGAAAAUGUGCCUUUUUUUAGUUUUGGUGAAUUUUUCUAGUUAUGAAUCAUUAAUAUCUUCCAAUAUUAACCCCCCCAUAAAAAAAUUUUCAGGCACAGGAUUUUUUUCUGUUUUUAGCCCUGCACUUAAACUCAAGUAAACCUUUUGUAAAAUCCAUACAAGCUUUUGCAGUUAAUGUAUUAGGCGUUGCUCUGCCAAGUGAUCGUCAAAACACAAAAACAGGGAAAACUCAAGAGAUGUGCUGAAAGACCUUACUUUACUUUGGAGGUUCCAUUACACUACACUGAAUGUUCCAGAAAGUGUAUCACUACCGAGGAUUCAGAGUUACAGUAUGUCCUCAUUUCUGCAGCGAUGUUGUUUGUCAAAGUUUACAAUACUGUACAGUUAUAUAACCCUGGAAGCAAUGAGACUAUACUUUUGACCUCAAUGUCCAAGGAUUUUCAGACCCCCUCGUAGAAAAAAGCUUGCAUAUUUAAUCCUUCAAUGUCACUCUCCAUUCAGAGGCGGUUUCAUAACUCCAUUGUUUGUGGCUUUCAGAGAUCUUGAAGAAAUCCAUCACAACCUUCGCUGGAACACAUACAGCCGAGACAAUAAUGCUUCAGUGGGGACUGAGAAUAAAGCCAAGCACAGACAAAGAGAAAGUGAUGGUUUUGCAACACUUAUACCUGUGAAAAUUGCAUAACCGUCGGAUCAUUCACCCUAUCAUUGGAUGUUGGUUUUGUAAUUGGUAUCUUAAGGCUUUUGGGUUUUGACUCUGACCAUAUAAACAGAAAAUGUUAUCAGCUACCUGUAAAAUCAUGUGGACAUUUUCUUUAAACUUUGUUUUAGGAGUCGUAUGGCCAAAAACAUGAUGUAACAGCGAAAAAAUGAAGUUGAAAGAAGAGAUUUGAAAUAAGGAUAAAAUGAUGAUUAGACUUUUGGCCUUUAGAGCUCAAAAUGCUGGGAAUAAAAAAACAGACUAAGGUCUUGUCCACACGUAGCUGGAUAUUUACUAAAACAAAUAUAUUUUUAUAUGUUUUGGCCUGCCAUCCAUAUGAAACCACAGGAUUACGUCAUUAAAGUGGUGCUUUUGGAAAACUCUAGUGUUGCGUUUGCGUGUGGAUAAAGAUAACCAGAGUUUUAAAUUCCCAAACGUCAUUGUCCACAACAACUAAAAGAUAGACGUCAUAUACUAUGCGCCCUUGUUUAUGUCAGGCAGUGGACAGCAAAGAUAUUUUUAUAAUAUACAUUUUUGUGAGGAGCAAAGAAGAAGGAGUGCUUUGCAGUCGGUUCUUCUACACCAAAUAACCCUUCCUCCAUCUUUCUUGUGUCUUGUUGACUCUUUGUCGAUCCUCACGAAUGAACUACAGGGCGCUAUGUUUCAUGUUUGGGGAAGUGAUGACGAGAAAGGGAAGUUUGCUCUGAUUGGAUAGAAUGGAUAUAACAUUAUGGCAAAUACUGCCAACUUCAGGUCUGGCAUGCUCAUAACGGCGGUCAAUAUCAUAUUUAUCCGGUUUUGUGUGGAUGGGAUUUUAUUUAAAAGCGAUAAUGUGUGUACAUGACCUUUUUCUAAAACGGAGGGGGUUGGAUAAGCCCAAACACCCCAGAGGUCAACCCCUGAUAUUUACAUGAGCACUUACACUUGCAUGAUUGCAAAGUUGUCAUUGUAAUCACACCUCUAAUGUUGGCAAUCCUGCUACAAAUGAACAGAUGUACAAACUAACAUAACACAGUUAGGAAUAAUAAGCCGCUUUGAUUAAAAGAACAAAUACACAAGUCAGACACAAACAGGGCAAUAAAAAGCCUUUGAUAGCUCGGGUAUUCGCUGCUUUUCUACCGUCUGCUCCCUGAUGUAAGCUGAGGUUUCUGAUUCUGUUUUCCAUCAAUAAUAUCAGACUAUUUUAUUUUGAUCCGAAUUGAUGUUUUAGAUAUCGUAAAUGAAAGGGAAUGAGUUAUUUAACCAUCCAAAAGCUCCACAGUGAAGUAGAGUAGGACUACAUUAGAGUUUGAUAGACUCCUAACAUUUGCAGUGACUCAGACAUAAAUAGAAGGACACGUCCUUCUGCUGGGGCCGCUCAUCCCUUCAGGGAGGCAGGUAAGAGUAUAGAACAUGACGGCCUAUCACAUGAUGACAGGCAUGAGCAUAAAUCUCCUGAAACCCUUCACUAACUUAUUUUUAUAUCUGCUGCUGACCUAUAAAACCACUGGCUCUCUGAAGGCAUUCACUCUAAACUGGAUGUUACUUGAUGUUUUAUACAGUAUAUUUAAUAUUUUACUCAGUAUCUCACGCUUUGCACUGAUUUUUUCCAAUUCAGCCCACUUUUAUCAAUAUUUGAUAGUUUAAGGUGAAAUCCCAAGACUCCGAAUAUGGUAUUAACGUGUUUUUACAGAAGCCUGAAGGGAAAUCUCUGGAGACUGAAUAGUAUUCAUUACAGUAAAGCUGAGAUCAAGUAUUCUCAUCUAAGGAUACAUGCUGCUAUCAGAACUAGGCAUGCUAGGUAGAAAGUAAGAAUGAGAGUUAUGGGACUUGACAACUUUGUCCACAGGGGGCGCCAAAACCAACACAAAUUGCCAGAUUAUUUCAGACCUGCAUGUUGCUGCAAAUGUGGGUUAACAGCAGAGAAUGGAAGAAAGAUAUUUGCAGCUUUAAAAGGAUUUACGUCGACCCUUCAAACUUUAUUUCAGGACAGG